rnacentral:rRNA from 1 species
CAUGGAGGGUGAGAAUCCCGUCCGGCUGACCUUCAGGACGUUUUACGAUACGCUCUCAAAGAGUCGAGUUGUUUGGGAUUGCAGCUCAAAAUGGGAGGUAAAUUUCUCCUAAGGCUAAAUACCGGCGAGAGACCGAUAGCGAACAAGUACCGUGAGGGAAAGAUGAAAAGAAUUUUGAAAAGAAAGUCAAACAGUACGUGAAAUUGUUGAAAGGGAAACGAUUGAAGCCAGUCGUACCGACGGGAAUUCAACUUCUCGAGUGCUAAUCGUGGGUGACGUUGAGCCUCACGGCCCUCGUUGCUUGUUGGUGCUUUUGGGGUGUACUUUUCCGUAUGGUAGGUCAGCAUCGAUUUCGAUCGUCAUAAAAUGAUCGGGGGAAUGUAGCUUCGGUCUCGUAUCGGAGUGUUAUAGACCUUGGCAGAUGUGACGAUUGGGAUCGAGGAUUGCAACGAAUACCCUCUGGGCUAUCCGUCUGUCCUCUGAAAGUCGCUCGGGUGUCGAAAGCGUGCUUAUGUCUAUUCGAGUUGGCGGUCAAUAGGUUAGAACGUGAUUAUAUUCGUUAAGGAUGUUGACGUAAUGG